UACAGAGGGUGCGAGCGUUGUUCGGAAUUAUUGGGCGUAAAGGGCGCGUAGGCGGUGCGGUAAGUCACCUGUGAAAUCUCCUGGCUCAACUGGGAGCUUGCAGGCGAAACUGUGGUGCUGGAGUGUGGGAGAGGUGCGUGGAAUUCCAUGUGUAGCGGUGAAAUGCGUAGAGAUAUGGAGGAACACCAGUGGCGAAGGCGACUUUCUGGUCUGUAACUGACACUGAGGCGCGAAAGCGUGGGGAGCAAACAGG
rnacentral:rRNA from 1 species